rnacentral:rRNA from 1 species
GACGAACGCUGGCGGCGUGCUUAACACAUGCAAGUCGAACGGUUAAGCGCCUUCCUUUUUGGUGGGUGCGGAAGAGUGGCGAACGGGUGAGUAACACGUGAGUAACCUGCCACCUUCUUCUGGAUAACCGCAUGAAAGUGUGGCUAAUACCGGAUAUUCUGGGUCUAUCGCUUGCUGGGUCUGGGAGAGAUAUUGUUUCGGUGGGGGCAGGGCUCGCGGCCUAUGAGCUUGUUGGUGGGGUGAUGGCCUACCAAGGCAGCGACGGCUAGCCGGCCUGGGAGAGUGGACGGUCUGAGUGGGAGAGAGGCACCGGACAGACUCGUGAGGGAGCCAGAAGGGGGGAAUAGUGAACGAUGGGAGCAAGCCUGAGGCAGCGAGGCCGCGUGAAGGAGGGUGUCGGUUUGGAUGUGAACCUCUUUCGAGAGUGAAGCAGGCGUGCCUCGUUUGUGCGUGGGUUGACGGUAGCUAGACAAGAAGCGCCGGCUAACUACGUG